rnacentral:rRNA from 1 species
UAGGGAAUCUUCGGCAAUGGACGAAAGUCUGACCGAGCAACGCCGCGUGAGUGAAGAAGGUUUUCGGAUCGUAAAACUCUGUUGUUAGAGAAGAACAAGGACGUUAGUAACUGAACGUCCCCUGACGGUAUCUAACCAAAAAGCCACGGCUAACUACGUGCCAGCAGCCGCGGUAAUACGUAGGUGGCAAGCGUUGUCCGGAUUUAUUGGGCGUAAAGCGAGCGCAGGCGGUUUGUUAAGUCAGAUGUGAAAUCCCCGGGCUCAACCUGGGAACUGCAUCUGAUACUGGCAAGCUUGAGUCUCGUAGAGGGGGGUAGAAUUCCAGGUGUAGCGGUGAAAUGCGUAGAGAUCUGGAGGAAUACCGGUGGCGAAGGCGGCCCCCUGGACGAAGACUGACGCUCAGGUGCGAAAGCGUGGGGAGCAAACAGG